CUUACUGGUGUGUUGAUGUGUCAU
rnacentral:siRNA from 1 species